rnacentral:lncRNA from 1 species
AGAGCAACGAUGAAAUCUGCCCAGUUAACACGUUGCUACAGUAACUCGAAUGACAAAAUCAAAUAUCUGAUGCGAUUGGCUAAAGAUUUUAGGAAGAAAUCAGAUGUGGGUUGUUCACAAUCCGUAAGGUGUUCUAUUGGUUGCUAAUAUGUGACCUUACCUUGCCGGAUUCCGAUGAUAUGCCUGAUGAAUAGUGACGGGAUCACUAUUUACCCUUCUUCCUAGAGAGAGAUUCCGAUGAUAUGCCCGAUGAAUAGAUCUGUUGUCUUCGCUUUAAAUCUGAAGUUCUUUUAGUUUUUAUUCAGUUUCGCACUCUUGUUGAAAAAUACAUUGGUGGCCACAUUAAAU